GUCUUCUUAUUAUAAAUUAGUAUAAGUGACUUCCAAUCACACAGCCUCGGUUAAAACCCAAGAGAAGAUA
rnacentral:tRNA from 1 species